UCCAGGGCUUUCUGCCCUUCUGUUUUUGUGGCUCUCUCUUUUUUUUCUUCUGUCUCUCAGUUGCUGCUGAUUUUGUGCUUUUUCAUGGUCCCUGCACUGUUUUGCAGGGACUGGGAUUGUUCAUGGGAAAACUACUAAAUUUGCAGUUUUUGCAGAAACUGCAAAAUCUUAAAUUGAGUAGGUCCCUACCAAGAAGCCAUUUUCAGACACCAGUGUGCAUGGGAGUUGGAGAAAGGAUGAGCCCCAUAGCAAUACUUCUAUGCACAGAUCAACUACUAUGUACUUCAAGAAAAGCAAAAUAGUUUUUCAGAAUUUGAUGGCAUUAUAUCAUGACAAGUAUAAAGAAAAGAAUGAUUACAGCAAGAUCAGCUAUAGAGAGCCUGUAUUGUGUUGAUCAUUUCCAGUUCAUGGACAUCAGGCAAGUUUUGGCCACAUGUAGCUGCAGCAAGCCAAGAAGAACCAGACCAUGAGGAAAAAAUGCCAGAAGCAGUUUGCUGUCU